rnacentral:rRNA from 1 species
AUACGGAGGACGCGAGCGUUAUCCGGAUUCAUUGGGUUUAAAGGGUGCGCAGGCGGCCUUGCAAGUCAGCGGUGAAAGCCCGGGGCUCAACCCCGGAAGUGCCGUUGAUACUGCAUGGCUGGAAUGCGGUCGAGGCGGGCGGAACGUGGCGUGUAGGGGUGGAAAGAGUAGAUAUGGCACAGAAAGCCGAUAGCGGAGGCCGCUCGCCAGGCCUGCAUUGACGCCCGGCCACGAAAGCGUGGGGAUCGAACAGGAUUAGAUACCCUGGUAGUCCACGCCGUAAACGAUGGGCGCUCGUCGUCGGCGGCAGACAGUCGGCGGCCAAGCGAAAGCGAUAAGCGCCCCACCUGGGGAGUACGGUCGCAAGGCUGAAACUCAAAUGAAUUGACGGGG